AAUGAACGCUGGCGGCAUGCUUUACACAUGCAAGUCGAGCGAAAACACGCCUUCCGUUGCUGACGAACGUCAGACGGGGGCGUAAUGCAACGGAACGGGCACCCUGCCUGUAGGUAUCGCAUCACAAGCUGUACCCAUACCUCAUAUCAGCUGAUGUUGUAAACGGCGGACUACACAGCAGUGUUUCGCCUCUGGCCUUUCUACUGGCCGAUGUCGGAUUAGGUAGUUGGUUGGGUAAAGGCAUACCAAGCCGACGCUAUGUAGCGGGUCUGAGAGGACGACCAGCCACACUGGGACUGAGACACGGCCCAGACUCCUACGGGAGGCAGCAGUGGGGAAUUUUGGACAAUGGGCGAAAGCCUGAUCCAGCAAUGCCGCGUGAGGGAAGAAGGCCUUCGGGUUGUAAACCGCUUUUGUACGGAACGAAAAGGCUCUGGCUAAUCCCUGGGGCUGAUGACGGUACCGGAAGAAUAAGCACCGGCUAACUACGUG
rnacentral:rRNA from 1 species